rnacentral:rRNA from 1 species
ACUGCUCAGUAACACGUGGCUAAUCUGCCCUUAGGACGAGAACAACCCCGGGAAACUGGGGCUAAUUCUCGAUAGGCGAAGAACUCUGGAAUGAGUCUUCACCCAAUAGAGCCUGCGUUAUCCUCGUAGGUUUCGCCUAAGGAUGAGGCCGCGACCGAUCAGGUUGUUGGUGAGGUAAUGGCUCACCAAGCCUUUUACCGGUGCGGGCCGUGGGAGCGGGAGCCCGGAGAUGGGCACUGAGACAAGGGCCCAGGCCCUACGGGGCGCAGCAGUCGCGAAAACUUUGCAAUAAGCGAAAGCUUGACAGGGCUAUCCCGAGUGCCAUCCGCUGAGGAAGGCUUUUACCCAGUCUAGAACGCUGGGGGAAUAAGGAGAGGGCAAGUCUGGUGUCAGCCGCCGCGGUAAUACCAGCUCUCCGAGUGGUGUGGAUGUUUAUUGGGCCUAAAGCAUCCGUAGCUGGCUAAGUUAGUCCCUUGUUAAAUCCACCGAAUUAAUCGUUGGAUUGCGGGGGAUACUGCUUGGCUAGGGGACGAGAGAGGCAGACGGUAUUUUCGGGGUAGGGGUGAAAUCCUAUAAUCCCGGGAAGACCACCAGUGGCGAAGGCUGUCUGCUAGAACGCGCCCGACGGUGAGGGAUGAAAGCUGGGGGAGCGAACCGGAUUAGAUACCCGGGUAGUCCCAGCUGUAAACGAUGCAGGCUAGGUGUUUGGACGGCCACGUGCCGUUCUAGUGCCGCAGGGAAGCUGUUAAGCCUGCCGCCUGGGGAGUACGAUCGCAAGAUUGAAACUUAAAGGAAUUGGCGGGGGAGCAC